rnacentral:sRNA from 1 species
UGGGAACUUCCCUGGCCACUGUGCAUGC